UUGCUGGGGGAUUAGUGGCGAACGGGUGAGUAACACGUGAGUAACCUGCCCUUGACUCUGGGAUAAGCCUGGGAAACUGGGUCUAAUACCGGAUAUGACUCCUCAUCGCAUGGUGGGGGGUGGAAAGCUUUUGUGGUUUUGGAUGGACUCGCGGCCUAUCAGCUUGUUGGUGGGGUAAUGGCCUACCAAGGCGACGACGGGUAGCCGGCCUGAGAGGGUGACCGGCCACACUGGGACUGAGACACGGCCCAGACUCCUACGGGAGGCAGCAGUGGGGAAUAUUGCACAAUGGGCGCAAGCCUGAUGCAGCGACGCCGCGUGAGGGAUGACGGCCUUCGGGUUGUAAACCUCUUUCAGUAGGGAAGAAGCGUAAGUGACGGUACCUGCAGAAGAAGCGCCGGCUAACUACGUGCCAGCAGCCGCGGUAAUACGUAGGGCGCAAGCGUUAUCCGGAAUUAUUGGGCGUAAAGAGCUCGUAGGCGGUUUGUCGCGUCUGCUGUGAAAGACCGGGGCUCAACUCCGGUUCUGCAGUGGGUACGGGCAGACUAGAGUGCAGUAGGGGAGACUGGAAUUCCUGGUGUAGCGGUGAAAUGCGCAGAUAUCAGGAGGAACACCGAUGGCGAAGGCAGGUCUCUGGGCUGUAACUGACGCUGAGGAGCGAAAGCAUGGGGAGCGAACAGGAUUAGAUACCCUGGUAGUCCAUGCCGUAAACGUUGGGCACUAGGUGUGGGGGACAUUCCACGUUUUCCGCGCCGUAGCUAACGCAUUAAGUGCCCCGCCUGGGGAGUACGGCCGCAAGGCUAAAACUCAAAGGAAUUGACGGGGGCCCGCACAAGCGGCGGAGCAUGCGGAUUAAUUCGAUGCAACGCGAAGAACCUUACCAAGGCUUGACAUGAACCGGUAAUACCUGGAAACAGGUGCCCCGCUUGCGGUCGGUUUACAGGUGGUGCAUGGUUGUCGUCAGCUCGUGUCGUGAGAUGUUGGGUUAAGUCCCGCAACGAGCGCAACCCUCGUUCUAUGUUGCCAGCGGUUCGGCCGGGGACUCAUAGGAGACUGCCGGGGUCAACUCGGAGGAAGGUGGGGACGACGUCAAAUCAUCAUGCCCCUUAUGUCUUGGGCUUCACGCAUGCUACAAUGGCCGGUACAAAGGGUUGCGAUACUGUGAGGUGGAGCUAAUCCCAAAAAGCCGGUCUCAGUUCGGAUUGGGGUCUGCAACUCGACCCCAUGAAGUCGGAGUCGCUAGUAAUCGCAGAUCAGCAACGCUGCGGUGAAUACGUUCCCGGGCCUUGUACACACCGCCCGUCAAGUCACGAAAGUUGGUAACACCCGAAGCC
rnacentral:rRNA from 2 species